rnacentral:rRNA from 1 species
UACGAAGGGAGCUAGCGUUGUUCGGAAUCACUGGGCGUAAAGCGCACGUAGGCGGAUAUGUCAGUCAGGGGUGAAAAUCCCGGGGCUCAACCUCGGAACUGCCUUUGAUACAGCAUGUCUUGAGUCCGAUAGAGGUGGGUGGAAUUCCUAGUGUAGAGGUGAAAUUCGUAGAUAUUAGGAAGAACACCGGUGGCGAAGGCGGCCCACUGGAUCGGUAC